AGUGAACGCUGGCGGUAGGCCUAACACAUGCAAGUCGAACGGCAGCACAGUAAGAGCUUGCUCUUACGGGUGGCGAGUGGCGGACGGGUGAGGAAUACAUCGGAAUCUACUUUUUCGUGGGGGAUAACGUAGGGAAACUUACGCUAAUACCGCAUACGACCUACGGGUGAAAGCAGGGGAUCUUCGGACCUUGCGCGAUUGAAUGAGCCGAUGUCGGAUUAGCUAGUUGGCGGGGUAAAGGCCCACCAAGGCGACGAUCCGUAGCUGGUCUGAGAGGAUGAUCAGCCACACUGGAACUGAGACACGGUCCAGACUCCUACGGGAGGCAGCAGUGGGGAUAUUGGACAAAGGGCGCAAGCCUGAUCCAGCCAUACCGCGUGGGUGAAGAAGGCCUUCGGGUUGUAAAGCCCUUUUGUUGGGAAAGAAAAGCAGCAGGUUAAUACCCCGCUGUUCUGACGGUACCCAAAGAAUAAGCACCGGCUAACUUCGUG
rnacentral:rRNA from 1 species